GUCAGGGGCACAUCUGGGAGUGUGGGGGCUGGUCUGGGGGAGUGCAGAGUGGAAGGGAAUGCUCUGCAAAGAAGAUCAGAACAGUGCCAUCUCCUCUGUGUGACAGAAAGCUGUCCAGACUAAAGCAGAAUGUCCACUCCUACUCACAAGCAUCUCUGGCCUCCAGGGCCUUUGGCAAAGAAAGAGAUGAAAACACUAUUUUGUUUUUAUUUUUAUUUUUUAAUUUAAUUUUAAUUUAAUUUUAUUAUUAUUUUUAUUUUUGAAAAGACCAUUUGGAACCUGCCUCAAACUUGCAACUGCAGCAAGAGAAGUUAAGCCCUGCAAGGCCCACUCCACUUUUAUUUAUGCAGGUGAGAAGUGGUGAGUGGCCAAGGAGAGCACAGGCUGCGAGGAUCCAAUACAUGCAGAGACCCCCACCAGAACUGAACACCAGCAGGCACUCGAAUGUUCCCAGGCAGGGCACCUGCUGGGGGCCCGGCAGUGGAUAAAACCUUCCCCAGGCAGGCAGAGCUCUGUGCACCUGACAUCUCUGAGAAUAGCCAAGGCUCCUCUCACUGCAGGGAGAGUUCAGGGCACAACUGGAAGCAGAAAGAAAGCUGGCAGACGCUUUCUAGCCAUUCUUUUUGCAAUUCACCUGUUUUGUGCUAACAGAAUUAAAUUCUAUGCAUCUCACCUUGCAAACUCCCAAAAUAAAGUCAGAAAAAACCUCAUCCUUUAUGAGCAAGCUGUUGAACAGUGCUAAGCCUUCUCUGAAAAGUGAGAAAAAUCACAAAACUUCAUAAAUCUGAGAAUGAAACAUUUGUGUUUCGCAUGCCUCAAAGUAAUUAUGUUGAGUAAGCCACGUCUACCACCUCGUGGCAGCUUUCAGUCACUGCAGAUUUUGUUACUUAACGGAGGCUGAAAACUAGUUCACCUUGGAUGGGCAAAUCCCAAAAGAUGGCCAACAUUAGCCCGCUUCUCUCCGCCUGGCUUCCUUUAGUGGAAGCUCUGAGAAACUUUUCAUUAUUGACGUUGGAAUCCUCUAAAAGUUAGUUCCUGAAUUAUUUCUUGGUCAGAUUAAGUUUCAUACUGAUGUGACAUCAACCAUUCUUUUGGAGUCUCCUGUUUUCUUAGGAUCUUUUUAAAAAUACUCUGCUUUUUUUGUUGUU